GAGACCUACGGGGCGCAGCAGUGAGGAAUAUUGGUCAAUGGGCGGGAGCCUGAACCAGCCAAGUCGCGUGAGGGAAGACGGUCCUAUGGAUUGUAAACCUCUUUUGUCGGGGAGCAAAGAGGCCACGUGUGGUCAAAAGCGAGAGUACCCGUAGAACAAGCAUCGGCUAACUCCGUGCCAGCAGCCGCGGUAAUACGGAGGAUGCGAGCGUUAUCCGGAUUUAUUGGGUUUAAAGGGUGCGCAGGCGGCACGGCAAGCCGGCGGUCAAAUCGCGGGGCUCAACCCCGCCCAGCCGUCGGAACUGC
rnacentral:rRNA from 1 species